rnacentral:rRNA from 1 species
GAUGAACGCUGGCGACGUGCUUAACACAUGCAAGUCGAACGAGUGGGAACGGGUGAGUAAUACGUGGGUAACCUGCCCAUCAGAGGGGAUAAGACUUGGAAACAGUUGCUAAACCGAUACUGAUGGAUGGACCAGCGGUGCAUUAGCUAGUUGGUGGGGUAACGGCUCACCAAGGCCACGAUGCAUAGCCGACCUGAGAGUGUGAUCGGCAACACUGGGACUUGGACACGGCCCAGACUCCUACGGGGGGCAGCAGUAGGGAAUCUUCGGCAAUGGACGAAAGUCUGACCGAGCAAGGCCGCGUAAGUGAAGAAGGUUUUCGGAUCGUAAGACUCUGUUGUUAGGAAAGCGGUAUCUAACCAGAAAGCCACGGCUAACUACGUGCCAGCAGCCGCGGUAAUUC